UACGGGAGGUGCGAGCGUUGUCCGGAAUCACUGGGCGUAAAGGGCGCGUAGGCGGCCUGAUAAGUAGGGGGUGAAAUCCUGCGGCUUAACCGCAGGGCUGCCUUCUAAACUGUCAGGCUAGAGCACGGUAGAGGCAGAUGGAAUUCCCGGUGUAGCGGUGGAAUGCGUAGAGAUCGGGAAGAACAUCAGUGGCGAAGGCGGUCUGCUGGGCCGUUGCUGACGCUGAGGCGCGAAGCGUGGGAGGGAACAAGAUGAUAACCGUAGUAC
rnacentral:rRNA from 1 species